UACCAGCACCCCGAGUGGUCGGGACGUUUAUUGGGCCUAAAGCAUCCGUAGCCGGUUCUACAAGUCUUCCGUUAAAUCCAACUGCUUAACAGGUGGGCUGCGGAAGAUACUAUAGAGCUAGGAGGCGGGAGAGGCAAGCGGUACUCGAUGGGUAGGGGUAGAAUCCGUUGAUCCAUUGAAGACCACCAGUGGCGAAGGCGGCUUGCCAGAACGCGCUCGACGGUGAGGGAUGAAAGCUGGGGGAGCAAACCGG
rnacentral:rRNA from 1 species